CUGGAAAUCUGAAGUCAUUUUUGACUGAAGACACUACUCACCUUGUGAUGCUGUUUCGUGGUAGCCUGUGCUUCUCCUUGGCUCUGUAUUCAACCUCUUCGUAUACAAAAGCAGUUGGGUGAUCUGAAGAGAGUAGGCGGGAGGUGAAGGAGACAAUCCUUUGGAUUGGAUCGAGUCGGUUUCGUUGACGACACAAAGUCCUCCAUCUGAAGCUCUCCUUUGUUUUAGAUCUAUCAUGUCAGACUGAAAACAAAACAAGGAGAUUCUUACACUGAGUUACAAGCUUCUCUGACUGAAAAACUGCUUUUCACCUGCUUUCUAAAUGAGGACUGCUUCUCUGCAAAAGUUAAAGACGAAACUGAAAGAUCCUCAUGCAGGGGUCACCUUCUUCGCUGCUCCUGCCUCCUGGCUGUUUGUGCAUCCUGCAGCAGGCCUUUCAGUGUAAGGGCUGGAGGGCGGGG